rnacentral:rRNA from 1 species
AUUCUCGUUUGAGAAACGUUAUCGAAAUGAGUACGCUUUACACACGCUAACGAGUAGCAAUUGGAGGGCAAGUCUGGUGCCAGCAGCCGCGGUAAUUCCAGCUCCAAUAGCGUAUAUUAAAGUUGCUGCGGUUAAAACGCUCGUAGUUGAAUUGUGGUCUUAGACAACAGUCCCCCUAUAUAGGUGUGGCACGGUUGCUCGAGAUCUUCAUUCGUGGUUGCUGUUGUUGCUCUUCAUUGAGUGUCAAUGGUGCCUCGAGAUUUUACUUUGAAAAAAUUAGAGUGCUCAAAGCAGGUUGUGAUGCCUGAAUAAUGGUGCAUGGAAUAAUAGAAUACGAUCUCGGUUCUAUUUUGUUGGUUUUCGAACCGGAGAUAAUGAUUGAAAGGAACAGACGGGGGCAUUCGUAUUGCUGCGUUAGAGGUGAAAUUCUUGGAUCGCAGCAAGAUGAACAAUUGCGAAAGCAUUUGCCAAGAAUGUUUUCAUUAAUCAAGAACGAAAGUUAGAGGUUCGAAGGCGAUCAGAUACCGCCCUAGUUCUAACGGUAAACUAUGCCAACCAGCGAUUCGCCGAAGUUCAUUUAAGACUCGGCGAGCAGCUUCCGGGAAACCAAAGUGUUUCGGUUCCGGGGGAAGUAUGGUUGCAAAGCUGAAACUUAAAGGAAUUGACGGAAGGGCACCACCAGGAGUGGAGCCUGCGGCUUAAUUUGACCCAACACGGGAAAACUCACCCGGCCCGGACACUGAAAGGAUUGACAGAUUGACAGCUCUUUCUUGAUUCAGUGGGUAGUGGUGCAUGGCCGUUCUUAGUUGGUGGAGCGAUUUGUCUGGUUAAUUCCGAUAACGAACGAGACUCUACCCUAUUAAAUAGUGACAGUAUUGCAUAUUCUGUGCUGAUCACUUCUUAGAGGGACUGGCAAAUUGAAAGCUGCACGAAAAAGAGCAAUAACAGGUCUGUGAUGCCCUUCGAUGUCCGGGGCUGCACGCGCGCUACAAUGAAAGCGUCAACGUGAGUUACGUCCUUACCUGAAAAGGUUUGGCAAUCGAUUGAAACGUUUUCUUGAAUGGAAUAGGGAAUUGCAAUUGUUUCCCUUGAACGAGGAAUUCCCAGUAAGCGUGAGUCAUUAGCUCGCGUUGAUUACGUCCCUGCCCUUUGUACACACCGCCCGCGUCCCUGCCCUUUGUACACACCGCCCGUCGCUACUACCGAUUGGAUGAUUUAGUGAGGUGUUUUGACUAGCGCCUGUAGUCGGAUGUAUAUUCGGCUUCGCGCCGGGAAAUUUCCCAAACCAAAUCAUCUAGAGGAAGUAAAAGUCGUAACAAGGUUUCCGUAGGUGAACCUGCGGAAG